CGAGGACAGCCCACAAUCAAGGGGAGGGUAGAUAUGUUCUACCUCUUGACAUGUAGUAUGAACAUAAAGCACAGUUGAUUCCUGAGCUGUGAUGACUUUCCACUGACCAUACUACUGCAAUGAUGUUAUUCUGGGCCAAACUUCGGAAUCAAUUCUUGUCUGCUGCCUGAUUCAAUUAUUUUUAAUGCACCCUGUGGAUUUUUACUUGCUAAAGUAGAAAGAAGAUCCCAACAUUUGAUGAGAAAAUAUACAGAAGCUGCGAUGUGGUGGAUCCAAAUCUCUCUGAGGCCAAAUACUGCCCAGCUCGAAUGAACGCUAUGCUCCAUGCCUGAAACAACUGCUCCAGCCCUCAGAAAAGAGUCUCCCAUUCAACUGAAGUCUGCAUAUCAGAUUCCCGUGGGAUAAUUCAUAAAGGCUCCUUGAAGUUAAUUCUGGGUAUAUCCUGAAAUAGAGGGUCUCCUCUGUUUUUUCUUCUUUUUUUCCACAACUGAGGAGACACUAGUGCCUACUUAUCUCAAUAAUGGGAUUUCUCUUUGAUGCAAUUGCAGUUUUUACUAGGCCUUUCAAUAAAUAUGUUGAAUAUUUUU
rnacentral:lncRNA from 1 species